AAGAUUUUUCUCUCCCUCUCUCCAUUAUGUGCUCUGAGGAACACAGUGACAACGACACAAACUUGAUGCAACAUUGAUGAAAACUCUCCUGGCAUCAUUAAAAAAAAUAAAUGAACGUCACCAUAGACCGCAAAGGUUUCUGAAAUGAAAGUUUCUCUUUGCAGCGCAUCGCUUCCCUCUUGCACCUAAAACUGUCCAGUAGCAAUUCAACUUAAAAUCAUUAAAAACAUCAAAGCUCCUGAAUCAUUUCCAAUGGAAAUAGGUGGACAACAACCCGAUGGUAAAGCUGCAUGCAGUCACCAUAGCGACGGGGCUUCUGAAAGGAUGCAGAGAGCAUCGCCAACGUCCACAGCGUGUGGAGGAGCACAAGCGGCCGAAAUGGGGGCUGGGGCAGGCAAGGAUUUGAUGAUUAAGGAUUUGGAGCAUCUCCCAUACGAGAAAAGGCUGAGAGACCUGGGACUGCUCAGUCUGGAGAAGAGAAGGCCGAGAGAGGAUCUCAUCACUGUUUAUAAAUAUUUGAAGCGCGGGAGCCAAGUCAAUGGGAGCAGACUCAUUUCAGUGGUGUGCAGCAGUAGAACAAGGGGAGAAACUGCAAUACAAGAAGUUCCUCUGUAGCACAAGAAGGAACUUUUUCAGUCACUGAAGGAGCACUGGAAAAGGCUGCCCAAAAAGGCCGUGGAGUCUCCUUCUCUGGAGAUAUCCAGGACCCAUCUGGACACCGAGCUUUGUGACCUGCUGUAGUACCUGCUUUAGCAGGAGGGUCAGUCUCAGUGUUAUUUCUAGAGAUCCCUUCCAAAACCUGCAAUUCUGAGAUUCUGUGACCACUUUGCUGCACUCUCCACCAAAAGACGAACUGGGGGGGACCUGGGGACUGCAGAUCCCCACGGGGGACCCUCUAGAGAUGUCUGCUGCAUGUUGUCCAGGCUGCAUGUUGUCCAGGCUGGGGGAGAGACCUCAUCACCAAAAUGGAUCUUUGCCAUUUUGAAUUUCAACUUGAGUGAGCCCAGAAGAACAUUAAAAAAUAUAUUUAAAAAUGAGCAGAAGCCAGGAUGAACCAGUUUGACACCACAGCCCCCCCCUUCCUCCCCCUUAAACACUCUGGAGGCGUUCAAGGCCAGGUUGGAUGGUGCUCUGGGCAGCCUGACCUGGGCUUUGGACUCCUCUGGAUCUAUCACAGGACACAGCUCCAAGAGGACUUCAUCUCAUUCCAAAAGAAGAGACCACAGAGAAGUAUUGCUUUGCUACUCAGCGAAGAGCAAAUACUACUGAUAAAUAAUGUUGAUGAAGUCAGAGUGCUUAAUACUUUUUCUAUUAUUGAUCUUCAGUGGAAAUAUCGCUGCCAAGCAGGCAGUUAACAGAGAAAGUGAGAUGUAAGCCCAGAGUAAAAAAUUGGCUUGAGGGCACCUGGAUGAGCAAAACGUUCUUAGAUUCACUGUGUGGAUGUGGAGUCUUCAGUACAGGAAAUACAUGGACCUAUUGGAGCACAUCUAGAAGAGAGCCACAGAAAUGAUUCUGGGGGUGAAAAAAACAGCCUUGAGGACAAGCUGAGGAAGAGAAGGCUCUGGGGAGACCUGAGAGUGGCCUUUCAGUAUCUAAAGGGGGGCUGCGAAAAAUAAGGGGACAGACACUUUAGCAGAGUCUGUUGGGAAAGGAUGGGGG
ensembl:lncRNA